rnacentral:misc_RNA from 1 species
UUACCGAUAUUAAUAAAAAAGUUCAAUUUGAAUGAAAGCAUGUCUCUAAAUGUUGUAAAAUAGAAUGUAUCGAACACGCACAAACUUUAACACUCGUAAGGAAAUCGUUUCAUUUUAUUAGCUUAGUUCUUUAUUUUAAAUGACAAUUUAAGGAUAAUUUAGUAUGAUAAUUUAAUAUUUAGUAUUUGAUGUCUAACAUUUAGAGGGAAUCUUCCAAUGUAUUUAAUUCUGUGGUAAAUUUAUUUUACACAAAUAUGAGUCUGUUAAUGGUUCUUGUGUCGAUGUUUUACAAGACCAGAGCAAAAGGAACGGGCCGAGGAUGUGAAUACCAUCGCGAAAAAAGAAAUUGGAUUAAGAUUUACGUAAAAGUAUUUAGAGCUACACUAUAUAACCCUCUUAGGUAUGGCUUCGUAUAUUGCGUAAGUUGUCGGUCCGAACCUUUCAGAGUGUAGAUUGUUCAAGCAGCGCUCAUUCUUUCAGAUCGUUGUUGGUUAGCUCAUAUACAUAUACACGAUAAUGAUUACACGUUCGCUAUCUUUUGUGAGAUUAUAAGACAAGUAUAAUUACGUGUUGUACAACCGUUUGUCACGUUCUAUUAGCGAUGAUAAUAUUCUUUAUUAGAUUUUCAACUAAUACUCAUCUUGUUUGCUAUUGCGUGUAAUUUUUCUGUAAAAUUAAGUAAUCUACUAAUUGCUCCUAAAUCUUUAUUUAGCACUGGCUUCUGUAAGCUCUCUAUGAUCUUCUAUCAAAAUCACAUGCAGUUUUUCCAUCGUAUUAUUAAUGAAAUUCUGAGAUAUCAUUUUCAAACUUAAUAAAUUGUACAGCAAUUCCUAAUUAUCCAAUUAGGACAUUGGGAUUCUAUGAUUAAUCUCAUCCGAAUUCACCGUAUGAGCGGAUGUAUUUAGUAUCCAAUGUGUGCUUCGUGUAUUCAACCCUGAGGGGAUAUUUCAAAAGAGAACCUUUUAAAAGUCUAGUAACAUAAGUAGAAUGCAGAGACCCAGCGGGAACAAUAUUUUUAACGACGAGAUAUGCAUAUUACGGUGAAAAUAGUACAAUGUUCUUAUUCAUCGUCAGAUUUCCCUCUACACGCAUACGCUGGUUCUUCCGUUGUACAAAUACAAUUAUUAUUUAUGUUCUGAUAUUUAUAAAUGUUCAAUCACGUAUAUAUUAACAUUUUUACAUCGCUAGGAUACGAUAAAUUAAAAUAAGUACAUUUUGUAUCGAUCUAAAUAUGAUCAUAAAAUUAAUAGACGUAAUUUUAC